UAAGGGCUCACCAAGGCGACGAUCCCUAGCUGGUCUGAGAGGAUGAUCAGCCACACUGGAACUGAGACACGGUCCAGACUCCUACGGGAGGCAGCAGUGGGGAAUAUUGCACAAUGGGCGCAAGCCUGAUGCAGCCAUGCCGCGUGUAUGAAGAAGGCCUUCGGGUUGUAAAGUACUUUCAGCAGUGAGGAAGGUGGGUGAGUUAAUAGCAUCAUUAUUUGACGUUAGCUGCAGAAGAAGCACCGGCUAACUCCGUGCCAGCAGCCGCGGUAAUACGGAGGGUGCGAGCGUUAAUCGGAAUUACUGGGCGUAAAGCGCAUGCAGGUGGUUUGUUAAGUCAGAUGUGAAAGCCCGGGGCUCAACCUCGGAAUUGCAUUUGAAACUGGCAGACUAGAGUACUGUAGAGGGGGGUAGAA
rnacentral:rRNA from 1 species